CAGGGAGCCCAACAGUAGGGGGAGCCAGAGCCAAUGAGAGAUAGAGCCAACUGAUCCUGGUUUUGACCCUCUCCUUCCUGAAUUCUACAAAGGCAACACUGAGACUUAAGCUGGAGGAAACUGACAGGCCGUUCCAACCCCUAGACUGGUUGUAAGUAAGGAGGCAGGCAAGUGGGAUUGGCUGACAAUGGAACUUGGUGAGGAACUGCCCCAUUUGCCCCAAUAGACCAGUCUCCAGGGAAUUUAAGGUUAGACACUUGUUUGGAGGUUCUAGCAGGGGAGCGCAGCUAUCAUAUACCCUUGACCGAAGAACGGUACACUCCUUCCUGAAGAAACCAGAGGCCUUUCUCCUGGGCAUGGUCGGCCAAUUGGUGCCAAAGAAGGAUAGAACUUUUUUUAUGUAUGCAACUACAGCAGCAAGAAUACUCAUCGCAAAAUAUUGGAAGACACAAGAUUUACCCACCCGGGAAGAAUGGCAGAUGAAGUUGAUGGACUAUAUGGAAUUGGCGGAAAUGACUGGCAGAAUCCGAGACCAGGGAGAAGAGUUGGUGGAAGAAGAUUGGAAAAAAUUUAAAGAUUAUUUACAGAAAUACUGUAAAAUUAAUGAAUGUUAGAAAAAUGUUGGAAUGAAGUUAUACGGCUUAGUAGAAAUGUUAUAAGGAAUUAAGUAUAAAUAGAUUAAUAGAAAAUUAAAGGGAAAAAUAAGGUUAAAAUGUGUUAAGAUAAUUAUAGGAUAGAAAACAGAGGAAGAUGGAAAGGAAUUGCUGAAACAAUUAACAGAAGUGGAAUACAAAAAGGGAGGUGUGAGGAGGUCACUGAAAUAAGUGAAUGAAAGAUAAGAUAUUGAAACUGUUUGGUUAGUUUAAUGUGUUAGUGUUUUGUAUUGUUUUUGUAUUGUAUUGUAUUGUUUAUUCUUUUUUUGUAAUGUUUAAAUUGUUGGAAAAGUAAUAAAUAUUAUUUUUUUUAAAAAAAGGAAUUUAAGGUUAGACACAAAUCUAAUAGCAAAAAUCCUUUGUUCUAUCUCACUACCAGUAGAGUCUCUACUAGCUGAAUUUCUGCUUCUCACCAAGGCACUGCCUUCACCUGUGGACACCUCAAGGGCAUCUGCACCCACCUGAAGGACAUGCUCUUCUGGAGAAUAGAUAGAUCACAUCUCUAGCCUUUUGAUUCCUUCAUUAGAAUGCACAUGACAUCUGCCCUACAAGGUUUAAGGAUCCAUUUACCUAGGAAGCAAAGUACAAUGUGGGUGAAACUCUUGUUAAAGCUGUUGAAAAGGCACUUUCAGAGCAUUGGGGUUUAAGUCACUGGGGUUUAAAUUACCUGCUGUUGCUUAAAAAAAAAUUGCUUGCGAGGCGACUAAUUAAAAACAACAGCCGACACCA